rnacentral:rRNA from 1 species
GUCUGGUGCCAGCAGCCGCGGUAACUCCAGCUCCAAUAGCAUAUAUUAAAAUUGCUGCAGUUAAAAAGCUCGUAGUUGGAUCUGGGUUCUGGUCUAGAAGCCGUGUGUGUAGUGUGCUUAUGAGAUUCAUGGGUACAUUAUGCUGCGGUAUUUCUGGACCGAAUCUUCCAGCUGUGUCUAUGUGGUGCUUCGGUAUCGCGUAGAUAGUAUCGAUUGUCUGGUCAGUUCCUUUUGGUUCUCCAGCGUCGGUACUACGCACUGUUAAUGCUCUUAACCGAGUGUUCAGUGGGGCAGCACGUUUACUUUAACAAAUUGA